rnacentral:rRNA from 1 species
CAGCAGCCGCGGUAAUCCCAGCUCUCCGAGUGGUGUGGAUGUUUAUUGGGCCUAAAGCAUCCGUAGCUGGCUGAGUUAGUCCUUUGUUAAAUCCACCGAAUUAAUCGCUGGAUUGCGGGGGAUACUGCUCGGCUAGGGGACGAGAGAGGCAGACGGUAUUUUCGGGGUAGGGGCGAAAUCCUUUGAUCCCGGGAGGACCACCAGUGGCGAAGGCUGCUGACUAGAACACGCCUGACGGUCAGGGACGAAAGCUGGGGCAGCGAACCGGAUUAGAUACCCGGGUAGUCCCAGCUGUAAACGAUGCUAGCUAGGUGUUGGGUCGGCCACGCGCCGCCCCAGUGCCGCAGGGAAGCCGUUAAGCUAGCCGCCUGGGGAGUACGGCCGCAAGGCUGAAACUUAAAGGAAUUGGCGGGGGAGCAC